rnacentral:lncRNA from 1 species
GUUAGAGACCUCAACUUAGGGAUAUUGAUAUUGAUGGCAUGACAACUAUUAGGCUCGAGUCUUAGUCUCCCUAUUAGUUUGUUGUCUCCCCGGUCUCUGGUUAGGAGAGUGUUGUACCCCUGUUAAGGGGAACUACGUCGCCCUGAUUCUCAUACCAGAUGAGAUACGUAGGCAGGAGAUUGAGCGAGAUCUCUCCGGGCAACCUUUUUUUCACUUUUUUUGUUUUUGUGUGUGUCAACCUUUUCUUUUUGCGUGUGUUCAACCUUUUCUUUG